GACGAACGCUGGCGGCGUGCCUAAUACAUGCAAGUAGAACGCAGUUGCGAAUGGGAGAGUAACGUGUAGGUAACUGCCUCAUAGCGGGGGAUAACUAAUGGAAACGAUUGCUACAUCCGCACACAGCAAGAUGGACCUGCGUUGUAUUAGCUAGUUGUUGAGGUAAAGGCCCACCAAGGCGACGAUAGAUAGCCGAGCCGGGAGGGUGAACGGCCACACUGGGACUGAGACACGGCCCAGACGCCUACGGGAGGCAGCAGUGGGGAAUCUUCGGCAAUGGACGGAAGUCUGACCGAGCAACGCCGCGUGAGUGAAGAAGGUGUUCGGAUCGUAAAGCUCUGUUGUUAGGGAAGCGGUAACUAAAGAGAAAGCGACGGCUAACUACGUGCCAGCAGCCGCGGUAAUAG
rnacentral:rRNA from 1 species